CAGGGCCGCAUUUAGCAAUGAUCGAAAUGAAGUAACUUGAACAACCGAUUACUGGAUGCAAAAUGAAAACCAAACUAACCACCAUAGUGAAUCAAAGUGGAAGUGUGAAAAGAGUGUCGUUUCGCCAUACAACCUGAGAUGCUACGAGAACUACUACAUGUAAGGUGUGGAGCAACCCGGAGGAGGUCUAAGCAGAGACAUCCGAGUAACUUCUCCAUUACUCAGCAACGUUGGUGAGUUUGCACGUGUUAGGUUACGGGUAUUUCCCUGGGACUCCUUUAUCACGUGGCGUGGCG